AUUGAACGCUGGCGGCAGGCCUAACACAUGCAAGUCGAACGAGUGGCGGACGGGUGAGUUAUGUCUGGGAAACUGCCAGAUGGAUGGGGAUCACUACUGGACACGGUAGCUAAUACCGUAUUCCAUCGGAUGUGCCCAGAUGGGAUGAGCUAGGAGGUGGGGUAACGGCUCACCUAGGCGACGAUCCCUAGCUGGUCUGAGAGGAUGACCAGCCACACUGGAACUGAGACACGGUCCAGACUCCUACGGGAGGCAGCAGUGGGGAAUAUUGGACAAUGGGCGCAAGCCUGAUGCAGCCAUGCCGCGUGUAUGAAGAAGGCCUUCGGGUUGUAAAGUACUUUCAGCGAGGAGGCGUUACUCACAGAAGAAGCACCGGCUAACUCCGUGCCAGCAGCCGCGGUAAUUC
rnacentral:rRNA from 1 species